UAGGAGUAAAUCUAAACAAAUAUCACAUCAUGUUUAGCCCCUCAACGUUUUCUGAUUUGCAGCACAGCAUUGGUUCUAUUCUGGUGAUUCAGAUAAUUAAGUAUGUUUGGAAGUAUUUGGGUAUCCCUAAAUCUGGAUCUAAUCCUAAUAGGCAAAGAGUUAGCUCCAAUGUUAUACUGAACUGAAUCCUAGUCUUGAAGGGUGGAAAAGGAAGGCAUUGUCCUGCUGGUAGAGUCACACUGACACAGAUGUUUUGAUUCUCGAAUUUGAUGAUUAAACUCUACUGCAGUAACGAUAUUUUAGAGGAGAUCC
rnacentral:lncRNA from 1 species